rnacentral:rRNA from 1 species
AGUGAACGCUGGCGGUAGGCCUAACACAUGCAAGUCGAACGGCAGCACAGUAAGAGCUUGCUCUUACGGGUGGCGAGUGGCGGACGGGUGAGGAAUACAUCGGAAUCUACUUUUUCGUGGGGGAUAACGUAGGGAAACUUACGCUAAUACCGCAUACGACCUACGGGUGAAAGCAGGGGAUCUUCGGACCUUGCGCGAUUGAAUGAGCCGAUGUCGGAUUAGCUAGUUGGCGGGGUAAAGGCCCACCAAGGCGACGAUCCGUAGCUGGUCUGAGAGGAUGAGCAGCCAGGUUGGAAUUGAGACACGGUCGAGACGCCCAGGGGAGCCAGCAGUGGGGAAUGUUGGACAGUGUGCGCAAUCCUGAUCCAGUCAUAUCGCGUAGAUGAGGAGGGCCUUCGCGUUCUAAAGCUCUUAAGUUACGAAAGAAAAACAGCCGGUUAAACCCCGGCCGUUCUGCCGGUACCCAAAGAAGAAGCACCGGCUAACUUCGUG